rnacentral:rRNA from 1 species
UACGUAGGUGGCAAGCGUUGUCCGGAUUUAUUGGGCUUAAAGGGUGCGUAGGCGGCUUUGUAAGUCAGUGGUGAAAUAUGGCAGCUCAACUGUCAAGGUGCCAUUGAUACUGUGGAGCUUGAGUACAGAUGAGGUAGGCGGAAUUGACGGUGUAGCGGUGAAAUGCUUAGAUAUCGUCAAGAACACCUAUAGCGAAGGCAGCUUGCUAGGCUGUAACUGACGCUGAGGCACGAAAGUGUGGGGAUCAAACAGG